rnacentral:rRNA from 1 species
AACGAACGCUGGCGGCAGGCUUAACACAUGCAAGUCGAACGCCCCGCAAGGGGAGUGGCAGACGGGUGAGUAACGCGUGGGAACAUACCCUUGCCUGCGGAAUAGCUCCGGGAAACGGGAAUUAAUACAGCAUACGCCCUACGGGGGAAAGAUUUAUCGGGGAAGGAUUGGCCCGCGGUGGAUUAGCUAGUGGGUGGGGUAAAGGCCUACCAAGGCGACGAUCCAUAGCUGGUCUGAGAGGAUGAUCAGCCACAUUGGGACUGAGACACGGGCCAAACUCCUACGGGAGGCAGCAGUGGGGAAUAUUGGACAAUGGGCGCAAGCCUGAUCCAGCCAUGCCGCGUGAGUGAUGAAGGCCUUAGGGUUGUAAAGCUCUUUCACCGAUGAAGAUAAUGACGGUAGUCGGAGAAGAAGCCCCGGCUAACUUCGUGCCAGCAGCCGCCGUAAUAC